rnacentral:rRNA from 1 species
UACAGAGGGGGCAAGCGUUGUUCGGAAUUACUGGGCGUAAAGGGCGCGUAGGCGGCCUGCUAAGUCGAUCGUGAAAUCCCCGGGCUUAACCCGGGAACUGCGACCGAUACUGGUUGGCUUGAAUUCGGGAGAGGGAUGCGGAAUUCCAGGUGUAGCGGUGAAAUGCGUAGAUAUCUGGAGGAACACCGGUGGCGAAGGCGGCAUCCUGGACCGGCAUUGACGCUGAGGCGCGAAAGCGUGGGGAGCAAACAGG